GACGAACGCUGGCGGCGUGCCUAAUACAUGCAAGUUGAGCGAUGAAGAUUGGUGCUUGCACCAAUUUGAAGAGCAGCGAACGGGUGAGUAACGCGUGGGGAAUCUGCCUUUGAGCGGGGGACAACAUUUGGAAACGAAUGCUAAUACCGCAUAACAACUUUAAACAUAAGUUUUAAGUUUGAAAGAUGCAAUUGCAUCACUCAAAGAUGAUCCCGCGUUGUAUUAGCUAGUUGGUGAGGUAAAGGCUCACCAAGGCGAUGAUACAUAGCCGACCUGAGAGGGUGAUCGGCCACAUUGGGACUGAGACACGGCCCAAACUCCUACGGGAGGCAGCAGUAGGGAAUCCUCGGCAAUGGACGAAAGUCUGACCGAGCAACGCCGCGUGAGUGAAGAAGGGUUUCGGAUCGUAAAACUCUGUUGGUAGAGAAGAACGUUGGUGAGAGUGGAAAGCUCAUCAAGUGACGGUAACUACCCAGAAAGGGACGGCUAACUACGUG
rnacentral:rRNA from 1 species